GUGCUAGCUUUGGCAGCACACGGACUAAAAUCGGAACGAUACGGAGCAGAUUCGCAUGGCCCCUGCUCAAGGAUGACCCGCAAAUUUGGAAAGCGUUUCAUAUUUUU
ensembl:snRNA U6 U6 spliceosomal RNA